UACGUAGGGUGCGAGCGUUGUCCGGAAUUAUUGGGCGUAAAGAGCUUGUAGGCGGUUUGUCGCGUCUGCUGUGAAAAUCCGGGGCUCAACCCCGGACUUGCAGUGGGUACGGGCAGACUAGAGUGUGGUAGGGGAGACUGGAAUUCCUGGUGUAGCGGUGAAAUGCGCAGAUAUCAGGAGGAACACCGAUGGCGAAGGCGGUUCUCUGGGCAUGUCCUGACGCUGAGGAGCGAAAGUGUGGGGAGCGAACAGG
rnacentral:rRNA from 1 species